rnacentral:rRNA from 2 species
GAUGAUCGGUGCUUGCACCUAGAUUCAACAUGGAACGAGUGUCGGACGGGUGAGUAACACGUGGUUUACCUGCCCUUAAGUGGGGGAUAACAUUUGCAAACCGAUGCUAAUACCGCAUAUGAUCCUAGAACCGCAUGGUUCUUGGCUGAUAGAUGGCGUAUGCUAUCGCUUUUGGCUGGACCCUCGGCGUAUUAUAUAGUUGGUGAGGUAAUGGCUCACCAAGGCGAUGAUACGUUUCCAAACUGAGAGGUUGCUCGCCCCCAUUGUGACUGACCCAUGGCCAAAUCUAAUACGGGAGGCAGCAGUAGGGAAUCUUCCACAAUGGACGCAAGUCUGAUGGAGCAACGCCGCGUGAGUGAAGAAGGCUUUCGGGUCGUAAAACUCUGUUGUUGGAGAAGAAUGGUCGGCAGAGUAACUGUUGUCGGCGUGACGGUAUCCAACCAGAAAGCCACGGCUAACUACGUGCCAGCAGCCGCGGUAAUACGUAGGUGGCAAGCGUUAUCCGGAUUUAUUGGGCGUAAAGCGAGCGCAGGCGGUUUUUUAAGUCUGAUGUGAAAGCCCUCGGCUUAACCGAGGAAGCGCAUCGGAAACUGGGAAACUUGAGUGCAGAAGAGGACAGUGGAACUC